rnacentral:rRNA from 1 species
AUCCAGACUCCUACGGGAGGCAGCAGUGGGGGAUAUUGCACAAUGGGGGAAACCCUGAUGCAGCGACGCCGCGUGGAGGAAGAAGGUCUUCGGAUUGUAAACUCCUGUCCGAGGGGACGAUAAUGACGGUACCCUUGGAGGAAGCACCGGCUAACUACGUGCCAGCAGCCGCGGUAAAACGUAGGGUGCAAGCGUUGUCCGGAAUUACUGGGUGUAAAGGGAGCGCAGGCGGACUGUCAAGUUGGGAGUGAAAACUACGGGCUCAACCCGUAACUUGCUUUCAAAACUGGCGGUCUUGAGUGGUGUAGAGGUAGGCGGAAUUCCCGGUGUAGCGGUGGAAUGCGUAGAUAUUAGGAGGAACACCGGCGGCGGAGGCGGCCUGCUGGACCGUAACUGACGUUGAGGCUCGAAAGCGUGGGGAGCAAACAGGAUUAGAUCCCCGAGUA